UACAGAGGCCCCAAGCGUUACUGAGAAUCACUGGGUUUAAAGGGCGCGUAGGUGGUCCGUUAAGUUCGUUGUGAAAUCCCUGGGCUCAACCCAGGAAAUGCUUCGAAUACUGGCGGACUUGAGGCUAGUAGAGGUCACUGGAACUGACGGUGGAGCGGUGAAAUGCGUAGAUAUCGGAAGGAACGCCGGUGGCGAAAGCGACGUGCUGGACCUCUUCUGACGCUGAGGUGCGAAAGCGUGGGGAGCAAACAGG
rnacentral:rRNA from 1 species